GACGAACGCUGGCGGCGUGCUUAACACAUGCAAGUCGAACGGAAAGGCCCUGCUUUUGUGGGGUGCUCGAGUGGCGAACGGGUGAGUAACACGUGAGUAACCUGCCCUUGACUUUGGGAUAACUUCAGGAAACUGGGGCUAAUACCGGAUAGGAGCUCCUGCUGCAUGGUGGGGGUUGGAAAGUUUCGGCGGUUGGGGAUGGACUCGCGGCUUAUCAGCUUGUUGGUGGGGUAGUGGCUUACCAAGGCUUUGACGGGUAGCCGGCCUGAGAGGGUGACCGGCCACAUUGGGACUGAGAUACGGCCCAGACUCCUACGGGAGGCAGCAGUGGGGAAUAUUGCACAAUGGGCAGAAGCCUGAUGCAGCAACGCCGCGUGUGGGAUGACGGCCUUCGGGUUGUAAACCGCUUUCGCCUGUGACGAAGCGUGAGUGACGGUAAUGGGUAAAGAAGCACCGGCUAACUACGUG
rnacentral:rRNA from 1 species